rnacentral:rRNA from 1 species
UACGUAGGGUGCAAGCGUUAAUCGGAAUUACUGGGCGUAAAGCGUGCGCAGGCGGUUGUGCAAGACGGAUGUGAAAUCCCCGGGCUUAACCUGGGAAUUGCAUUCGUGACUGCACGGCUAGAGUGUGUCAGAGGGGGGUAGAAUUCCACGUGUAGCAGUGAAAUGCGUAGAUAUCGGGAGGAACACCUGUGGCGAAGGCGGCCCCCUGGUUGGAUACUGACGCUGAUACGCGAAAGCGUGGGGAGCAAACAGG